UCCCCCUAAUCCCUCAUUUUCUCAUUUUGAUAACUCUAUGGCCUAAAGGUUUUCGAGCUCAAAUGAGAAGAGCUUGAACUACCUUGACUUAAGCUGAACCUUUUUAGUGUUGGGAAGUGCUCUCUUCCCCUCCUAAAUAAGGCACAAAUAAUACCUCACAAGCUCAAUCUAUAAUGGUAACCAAUAACUCAAUCGAAGCAGAAAAUUCAAGCAACCAAGC
rnacentral:lncRNA from 1 species